AUUGAAAAGCAGUGGUGAGAGAGGACAUCUCUGCCUUUUUCCUACUCUGUGUGGAUUUCCCAGAAGCCUCACCAGAUGAGUAAUGAAGGUCACUUCCAGGCAGGUGCAGGAACCUCAGGAUAUUUGGGGGACCUCAUGAAGAGGAAUAUGCCCAAUUAUACAGGUGAUCAAGGAGGUGUCUGUCCUUUGAACAACAUCAGCUGCCAUGUCUAGGUUGACAAUUUUGAGGAAGCUAAAACUCAAAAUAAGGACAAGCUGCUUGACUUCAAAAAGCUACUAACCACCAAGCAAAUUAUCCCCCUGAGACUGGAACAUCUAAGGAACAACAACAACAAAAAUUAUCAACUUAAAAA